CGAAAAAAUAUGACGUUUUUCUUAGCUUUCGAGCGAGGAUACCCGCAGAAACUUCACGAGCCAUCUUUAUGAUGCUCUAAGCCGAAAGACAGUUGAAACCUUUAUAGACAACAAUGAGCUUCAAAAAGGAGAUGAGAUCUCGGCAGCACUCAUCAAAGCCAUUGAGGAGUCACAUGCAUCUAUUGUCAUCUUCUCAGAAAACUAUGCUUCCUCAAAAUGGUGCUUGAAUGAGCUCAAAAAGAUUCUUGAAUGCAAGAAAUAUAUGCAACAGAUUGUGAUACCAGUUUUUUACAACAUAGAUCCAUCACAUGUGAGGAAGCAGACCGGGAGUUACAAGCAAG
rnacentral:lncRNA from 1 species